ensembl:lncRNA
UUUUAAUCUUUUAACUUUAUGCAUCAAGCAAAAAUUAAAUUAUAUGCAACAUUCUCUGACUGGAAGAAAUUUGUUUAACAUUUAAACCUAUUUUCUGCACAUUCCAGCACAUAAAAUAAAAUAUUUUUUUGUGUUUACACUCACUCUUUCAAAUAGAUGCAAGUAAAACACAGCAGAAAAUAAAUAAAAUCAAAGACUAGCGGUCCUGUUGCUCUAUUUUCACCUGUAAAGCAGGACUGGGGUAGGCGGAGGAGGUUUACCCUGGUGCAGGUGUGCCGCAGCGGUCAGUGGAAGAAUCCGCGAGUUUCUCUGUGAAUUUCACAUUACGUCGUAGUACACUCGGUGCUUGCUUGGAAGUUUAGGGGUUUUUUCGCUGUAAAAAGAAGUUUUCUUCCCACGCACAACGGACACUAAUGUUUUUGUCACUUUUUAUGGAAUCAAACUCAAAAUAAGCUGAGUCAUUAGGUUGGCACUGUCGCUGCACAUAUAACACUGACUACUGACCAGCUACACAAGAUCUAACACUCCAAGACUGACUGGUGAAGAAAACACUGAAGUGGAGCCAUGCUGUGACUGAUAUGCUCUGCGCUGCACAAUGUGGCUGCCUGGGUCGUGUCUUGCUGUUGCUCCUCAGCAAAGGACGGGACAUCAUCAGGAGAGACAUACACGUGUAAAGGAAAGCAAGUGUGGACGGUGUCUGAUGAUGCAGCACCAUCCAGUCAAAAGCCUUCCUAAUUCCUCUCAGCAGUGCGGAGAGGAACGACAGCCACAUUUUCUCCACCCGGACACCCUGCAAAGUGUUUGAUCGCCGCUCUGGUCUGACUCUGUGUUGCUCUGUGCUUGUUAUAAUGAUGACUUAUCUAAAAACUCCUGUUUGGGAAGCUGGAUAAGGUCUGACAGCUGACAAAUACGGCAGCAUCAGUCAGGUCAUUAUGUCACAUCACGACUUUAACCAAUAAAGAGUUGUGCAGG